rnacentral:rRNA from 1 species
GAUGAACGCUGGCGGCGUGCCUAAUACAUGCAAGUCGAGCGAACAGAUAAGGAGCUUGCUCCUUUGACGUUAGCGGCGGACGGGUGAGUAACACGUGGAUAACCUACCUAUAAGACUGGGAUAACUUCGGGAAACCGGAGCUAAUACCGGAUAACAUAUUGAACCGCAUGGUUCAAUAGUGAAAGGCGGCUUUGCUGUCACUUAUAGAUGGAUCCGCGCCGUAUUAGCUAGUUGGUAAGGUAACGGCUUACCAAGGCAACGAUACGUAGCCGACCUGAGAGGGGGAUCGGCCACACUGGAACUGAGACACGGUCCAGACCCCUACGGGAGGCAGCAGUAGGGAAUCUUCCGAAAUGGGCGAAAGCCUGCCGGAGCAACGCCGGGUGAGUGAUGAAGGUCUUCGGAUCGUAAAACUCUGUUAUCAGGGAAAAACAAAUGUGUAAGUAACUGUGCACAUUUUGACGGUACCUGAUCAGAAAGCCACGGCUAACUACGU